rnacentral:rRNA from 1 species
GCGAGCGGCGGAUGGGUGAGUAACACGUGGGGAACCUGCCCCUAAGUCUGGGAUACCAUUUGGAAACAGGUGCUAAUACCGGAUAAUAAAGCAGAUCGCAUGAUCAGCUUUUGAAAGGCGGCGUAAGCUGUCGCUAAGGGAUGGCCCCGCGGUGCAUUAGCUAGUUGGUAAGGUAACGGCUUACCAAGGCGACGAUGCAUAGCCGAGUUGAGAGACUGAUCGGCCACAUUGGGACUGAGACACGGCCCAAACUCCUACGGGAGGCAGCAGUAGGGAAUCUUCCACAAUGGACGCAAGUCUGAUGGAGCAACGCCGCGUGAGUGAAGAAGGUUUUCGGAUCGUAAAGCUCUGUUGUUGGUGUAGAAGGAUAGAGGUAGUAACUGGCCUUUAUUUGACGGUAAUCAACCAGAAAGUCACGGCUAACUACGUGCCAGCAGCCGCGGUAAUACGUAGGUGGCAAGCGUUGUCCGGAUUUAUUGGGCGUAAAGCGAGCGCAGGCGGAAAAAUAAGUCUAACGUGAAAGCCCUCGGCUUAACCGAGGAACUGCAUCGGAAACUGUUUUUCUUGAGUGCAGAAGAGGAGAGUGGAACUCCAUGUGUAGCGGUGGAAUGCGUAGAUAUAUGGAAGAGCACCAGUGGCGAAGGCGGCUCUCUGGUCUGCAACUGACGCUGAGGCUCGAAAGCAUGGGUAGCGAACAGGAUUAGAUACCCUGGUAGUCCAUGCCCGUAAACGAUGAGUGCUAAGUGUUGGGAGGUUUCCGCCUCUCAGUGCUGCAGCUAACGCAUUAAGCACUCCGCCUG